rnacentral:rRNA from 1 species
AGAGUUUGAUCCUGGCUCAGGAUGAACGCUGGCGGCGUGUCUAAGGCAUGCAAGUCGAAUGGUUUACUUCGGUAACCCAUGGCAAACGGGAGAGUAACACAUUGGUAACUUACCCUGAAGACAAGGAUAACUCGGAGAAAUCCGUGACAAUACUUGAUAAUAGUGGGGGGUCUUAUGACAUUCCCACUCAAAGCUCCGGCGCUUCAGGAGAGGCCUAUGUUCCAUCAGCUAGUUGGUAAGGUAAAAGCUUACCAAGGCUACGACGGAUAGCGGGUGUGAGAGCAUGACCCGUCUCACUGGGACUGAGACACUGCCCAGACUCCUACGGGAGGCUGCAGUCAAGAAUCUUCCUCAAUGGCCGAAAGGCUGAAGGAGCGACGCCGCGUGUAUGAAGACGCCCUUCGGGGUGUAAAAUUCUUUAUCUGGGACGAACACAUGACGGUACCAGAUGAAUAAGGGGCUGCUAACCUCGUGCCAGCAGCAGCGGUAAUACGAGGGCCCCGAGCGUUGUCCGGAUUUAUUGGGCGUAAAGCGUCCGCAGGCUGUUUAGUACAUCUUUUGUUAAAUCCUGAGGCUCAACCUCAGGACCGCGAGAGAUAUGGCUAGACUAGAGGCCGGAAGAGGUAAGCGGAAUUGCUGGUGUAGGGGUUAAAUCCGUUAAUAUCAACAGGAACACCAAAUGCGAAGGCAGCUUACUGGUACGAGCCUGACGCUCAUGGACGAAAGCGUGGGUAGCGAAUGGGAUUAGAUACCCCAGUAGUCCACGCCGUAAACGAUGGAUACUAAGCAUUGGCAGUUUCGACCCUUUCAGUGCUGUUCAACUAAGUUAACACCUUAAGUAUCCCGCCUGGGGAGUACGGUCGCAAGACUAAAACUCAAAGGAAUAGACGGGGACCCGCACAAGCGGUGGAGCAUGUGGUUUAAUUCGACGAUAAGCGAAUAACCUCACCCAGACUUGACAUCUAGCUGCAGAAUCUAAGAAAUUAGAUAGCCUUCGAGGGUGCUAGACAGGUGCUGCAUGGUUGUCGUCAGUUCGUGUCGUGAGAUGUACCGUUAAGUCGGAAAACGAACGCAACCCCUAUCCUAUGUUUUAUAUGUCAUAGGAAACUGCCCGCUUUAAGUGGGAGGAAGGUGGGGAUGACGUCAAAUCAGCAUGGUCCUUACGUCUGGGGCUACACACGUGCUACAAUGGAAAGUACAAUGGGACGCCAAACCGCGAGGUGGAGCAAAUCCCUCAAAACUUUUCUCAGUUCGGAUUGGAGUCUGCAACUCGACUCCAUGAAGUUGGAAUCGCUAGUAAACGCGCAUCAACACGACGCGUUGAAUACGUUCUCGGGUCUUGUACUCACCGCCCGUCACACCAAGAGAGCCGGUAAUACCCGAAGGCUCUGCGUAGCAGGGACGAAGGUAGGACUGGUAAUAAGGGUGAAGUCGUAACAAGGUAACC